UUGAAAAGAACUUUGAAGAGAGAGUUCAAGAGUACGUGAAACCGUUCAGGGGUAAACCUAAGAAACCCAAAAGAUCGAACGGGGAGAUUCAUCGUCAGCGACGCUGGCUUCGCGUCGGUGGGCGAUGUCCCGCGGGGCCUCGCGGCCCGCGCGCGGGCACGCUGCCGUGCGUCGAUGUCCGGCGUUCGUCGUCGUGCACUUCUCCCCUAGUAGAACGUCGCGACCCGCUGGGUGUCGGUCUACGGCCCGGGUGCGGUGACUGACGCGUCGCCGGUAAAACGGCACGCGUCAAACCCCCGGUCGCCCGGCCGGCUGCCCGGCGGUACACGCAAGGUAUCAGGCCGCAACUCUCAAAUCCACGCGGAGUGCGUCGAGGCCGUCGCAAGCGCGCGCCACGGUACACGGAGGCUAACGGACAUCGCGCCGUCACCGGUCCUGGCCCGCUGUUGGUCGCACGGUUAACCUUCGACAGGCCUGCGAACGUCCCCCCCGCGGGGGACCGAUACCGGUCGGCGACGCUACUGCUUUGGGUACUCUUAGGACCCGUCUUGAAACACGGACCAAGGAGUCUAACAUGUACGCGAGUCAUUGGGACUCGAGCGAUACCUAAAGGCGAAAUGAAAGUGAAGGUCGGCCCUGGUUGUCGACCGAGGGAGGAUGGGCCGCGUCGCGAUGCGGCUCCGCACUCCCGGGGCGUCUCGUUCUCAACGCGAGAAGAGGCGCACCCAGAGCGUACACGUUGGGACCCGAAAGAUGGUGAACUAUGCCUGGUCAGGACGAAGUCAGGGGAAACCCUGAUGGAGGUCCGUAGCGAUUCUGACGUGCAAAUCGAUCGUCGGAACUGGGUAUAGGGGCGAAAGACUAAUCGAACCAUCUAGUAGCUGGUUCCCUCCGAAGUUUCCCUCAGGAUAGCUGGCACUCGGCCGUUCCGCACGGAACGCGCGCGAGUCUCAUCUGGUAAAGCGAAUGAUUAGAGGCCUUGGGGCCGAAACGACCUCAACCUAUUCUCAAACUUUAAAUGGGUGAGAUCUCUGGCUUUCUUGAACUAUGAAGCCACGAGCAUCUCGGAUCAGAGUGCCAAGUGGGCCAUUUUUGGUAAGCAGAACUGGCGCUGUGGGAUGAACCAAACGCAGAGUUAAGGCGCCCAACUCGACGCUCAUGGGACACCAUGAAAGGCGUUGGUUGCUUAAGACAGCAGGACGGUGGCCAUGGAAGUCGGAAUCCGCUAAGGAGUGUGUAACAACUCACCUGCCGAAGCAACUAGCCCUGAAAAUGGAUGGCGCUGAAGCGUCGAGCCUAUACUCUGCCGUCAGCGGCAAGUGGGGCGGCCGUGCGGGCGCAUCCGCGCGCGUACGCGCCGCCACGAAGCCCUGACGAGUAGGAGGGUCGCGGCGGUGUGCGCAGAAGGGUCU
rnacentral:rRNA from 1 species